rnacentral:tRNA from 1 species
GGAGAGCUGUCCGAGUGGUCGAAGGAGCACGAUUGGAAAUCGUGUAAACGCCAAAAGCGUUUCGAGGGUUCAAAUCCCUCGCUCUCCGCCA